GACCAAGGCAACGAUCCGUAGCGGGUCUGAGAGGAUGAUCCGCCACACUGGGACUGAGACACGGCCCAGACUCCUACGGGAGGCAGCAGUGGGAAUUUGGACAAUGGGCGCAAGCCUGAUCCAGCCAUGCCGCGUGAGUGAAGAAGGCCUUCGGGUUGUAAAGCUCUUUCGGCUGGGAAGAAAUCGCAUCUCCUAAUACGGGGUGUGGAUGACGGUACCAGCAUAAGAAGCACCGGCUAACUACGUGCCAGCAGCCGCGGUAAUACGUAGGGUGCGAGCGUUAAUCGGAAUUACUGGGCGUAAAGCGUGCGCAGGCGGUUUCGUAAGACAGAGGUGAAAUCCCCGGGCUCAACCUGGGAACUGCCUUUGUGACUGCGAGGCUAGAGUAUGGCAGAGGGGGGUGGAAUUCCACGUGUAGCAGUGAAAUGCGUAGAGAUGUGGAGGAACACCGAUGGCGAAGGCAGCCCCCCUGGGCCAAUACUGACGCUCAUGCACGAAAGCGUGGGGAG
rnacentral:rRNA from 1 species